rnacentral:rRNA from 1 species
AAAUUGAAGAGUUUGAUCAUGGCUCAGAUUGAACGCUGGCGGCAGGCCUAACACAUGCAAGUCGAACGGUAACAGGAAGCAGCUUGCUGCUUUGCUGACGAGUGGCGGACGGGUGAGUAAUGUCUGGGAAACUGCCUGAUGGAGGGGGAUAACUACUGGAAACGGUGGCUAAUACCGCAUAACGUCGCAAGACCAAAGAGGGGGACCUUCGGGCCUCUUGCCAUCAGAUGUGCCCAGAUGGGAUUAGCUUGUUGGUGAGGUAACGGCUCACCAAGGCGACGAUCCCUAGCUGGUCUGAGAGGAUGACCAGCCACACUGGAACUGAGACACGAUCCAGACUCCUACGGGAGGCAGCAGUGGGGAAUAUUGCACAAUGGGCGCAAGCCUGAUGCAGCCAUGCCGCGUGUAUGAAGAAGGCCUUCGGGUUGUAAAGUACUUUCAGCGGGGAGGAAGGUGUUGUGGUUAAUAACC